rnacentral:lncRNA from 1 species
CUACAAUCAAACAAGAACAUGACUGACCGUCCAACCCAACACCAUGGUCCGGAAGCAUUACGUGACGGGCUAGGGACGUUCCGGUCAGAGUCAUAAAAUUUACUCCACGACCUAGACCAGUUCAUCCACUAACUCGUCCUGCUAAAUCAAGGCACAAGGCUUUGCAACCCUGCCAAGAGUUAGCGUUUUCCGUUAGAUCGAGGCCUAAGGCUUUUCAACCCGUACUACGACCUAACGAUGAGUUAGACCGGACUAGUCAAAUAUCAGAGUACUCAUGAAGCGCAUAGAAAACAAUUACUUUAUUAAUUCGAGAAAUAUCCAUAAAUUGAUAUAAUUGAGACCAGUCCCGGCCAAAUGCCAAAAUGGAGUCAACUAAACACAAAUCCACAAUACCGUUUACAAAAGGCAUGAAAAUCUAUACCGGCGGUCCUAACGUCUAGCACCAAGCCAUCCAAUCAUCCUUACCUAAAGCGACCUGCAAAAAGGACAACGGAGUUGGAUGAGUAACCUAAUGUUACUCAGUGAGCUGGCGGCCUCUACCCGCAACCUAGGCUCUAACCCGGACAACCCAAAAUAAGAAUCAAUCUAGCCCUAGCAUGCAAUAAAAGCUAAGGCUAAGCAAACCGUUACUAAGUUAGACUUGUCCUCCUGCCAUGAUCUAGCUUCAAGUAACAGGAACCUGCAUUAAAACAAGUCAACAAGCAAUCCCUAGACUAUCCAAAUACCAUUGGCCGAUCGACCAACAAUCAAACAAGAACAUGAUCGGCCAACCAAUGAUACCGCAUAGUUUAAUAUCCACCACCCUUCACAAGCAAUCACUCAAACACAUAUAGGCCAACGUCAGGCCUACACUAACAAAAUACACAUCAAGCCUAAUCCGGUACCUAAGCCAGACUUAGGACUUAAUUCAGAACCUGCAAGCAAAUCAAUCAACCAAAAACACAAUCACAACUAUGAGUAUCUACGACUCGAUCUAACUCGUAACACCGUAUAUCAGCGCUACACUGACUCGAGGGUCCCAUAACCCUCUACGACACACUAACCCAACACUCUAACUUGGGCCCUGGUGACUUCGUGUUCCUCCUCUCUAUCGGCAAUAUCCU